GAGCUCCACCCCAUUCCUUGGUGGCCAGUCUUGCCCUGAAACCAGCUACCCCACCACAGCCACCGUCCCCAGCUUCUUCUCCAAGAGCAGCGACUUUCCUCAGAAUGCCUGUGGAAAUACCUACCCUCAUGCCUGUUGCCCUGACCACAGAAGGUUGGACAGGGGAUUCUAUUAGAGCCUCUGGCUGUGCUGCCUAAGCUUGUCACCUGCUUCCACCUCCCCAAUACUGCCGGACCACGGAUGGCCUCAAAUUCCACAGAAGAAGGAGCCAGAGCUGAGCCAAGCCUCACGACAGGGCAGAAAGGACAUGACCAGUGGUGUAAGUGAGGACCCUGAGCUGGGGACAUCUUCCUAUGGCCCUCAGAGGGAGGCAGGACAGUAAGAAUCAGAGAUCCUUCCAGAGGCCAUGCUGCAUGCCCAAAACUGGGGGAGGGGCUGCGAGUCUACAGGAGAUGCUGGGUGUGGUGCCAGCCCCACCUGCUAGGGUGUGGGUCUGCCUUGCCGGUGGCAGGACUCACACUGGCUUCAGGACAGUUUCCCACAGUAUGUUCCUGUGGCAAGAAAAGCGGAUACCCCAGCCAUCAUGCUACCUCUGUGCUCCGUGUGGAUAUGAUCGUGACCACGGUGUGAACCAGGAGUCAGAAUGGAAAGCCCACCCUGCUUGGACCCAGAGCUAGGAAGGAACAUGAGGCCGAGUUUCCUGGCAGAAGCAAAGAGGAAGAGACAAGUCCCGUGGCUGAACUGUACAAGAAGAAAGAAAGCCUGCGGAGGGAGGUCACCCGGCGUUCUCACACUCAGGAAGCCAGGCAGGGGACAGACGAAGAGUUUAAGUGUUCCUGGGCUACACCUGGAGAACCUGUCUCAAAGCAACAAGAAAAGUGUAACAGAAAGAGAAGUAGAAGAAACCAAAUAUUACCUGCCAUUCAGUCCCUUCCCUGUGGGUAGGGCCCCCUGUGCGAUGGCAUGUUGGAAGUCGCCUCUGCUGUCUGCCAUCUUCCACUCAG
rnacentral:lncRNA from 1 species